UUGCAUUUCAAAUAAAAAGCUGUUCAUCUUACACUACUUUGUCACACUGAGAAUGCAAAGGAAAUGUUCAAGAAGGAAAUUAAAGUGCUUCUCCAGGGCAUAUGUAAAUGACUAGAAAGCAAAAACAGCCUUAUUGCUGAUCUGGAAAAACUUUUUAUACUCUGAAGAAAAGACGAAACAACCCACGUUCUAUGAAGAUGAAGCCAAAUCCAGAUAAGGCCAUCAUUUUAGAUAGUUAUACUGACAAGAGAAGUGAGAAAGCUGCAGAAGAAGAAGUUAGAAAGUGCCAGAGUUUGGUCCAUUAUGUUUUUGGCAAGAGGCCCUGCUCCAUAAACUAAAAGUGCAAGGCAAAGAAACAAGUGCUGAUGUAGAAGCUCUUGCAAAUCAUCUAGAAGGUCUUGCUAAGCUAUUCAAUGAAGAUGUGUUGUGCUUUAGGUAGUAGGUGUCCCCAGAAGCUCAUGGGUGAGCCAAUACAAGGAUUAUCAGUGAAAUGAUUCAGUUCUGAGAGCUUUAACCCAAUCAAUGGUUUAUUCCCCCGACAGAUAUGAACAGGCAGCAGGCAUGGAAGGGUAUGUGCUGGACCCUUCCCAAGCCUGGAGGUAUAGGUGGCACCUGCAAAGGCAUCUAGUGGCUGUGAAAGAAGUCUGGUUUCUAGGACUGAAGCAUAUAGAAGCCAACCUCAGCGUUCCACAGCAGAGUUUCACAUUGGAGGUUCCCAGUGACCAGGAGCAGUGUCAGAAUCCUGUAGCAGGGGCAUCCAUCUGUGGGGAGAAUGUCAAACAGCGAGCCUAGGUGUCUUAAGGCAGUUUGAGGAGCCCAGAUGUAUCAGUGGCAGGAUGGAGAAUUGGCCUCAGGCUUGGAGGACAGCCAUGGGCAGGAGCCUGGGCAGUGAAGCCUUGGCGUUUGGAAUCUGUGGAGGUAUUAGUGUCUGAAGUUCAGUUAUGGCAGCGGUGGCAAAGGCAACUGAGGAGUCUAUAGGUGGCAACGUCAAGCCAGGCAUCCAGAGAGUUGCGUUCUCAUCCUCUGGCAGUGGCAGGAGUCUGGUCCCAGUGCAGUGAUGGUGGCUUCGGCAUCACUGGUGGCCCUGUGGGGACUCCAGUGGCUGCAGUGUGGAGCUCUGUUAGCGGUGAUGGUGAAAGCUUGGGACAGCAGGCCUCAGAGUCAGAGGGCGACUGGAGGCUGUGAUGGCCUCUGCAGUGGCUCCUCCAGGCAACUGGUAUUGCUCCUGGUAGGGCCUGCCUGCUCAGGAAGCAGGGCGCAGGAGCUGGUGGUACCCAGACACCUGCUGAGGACCUUAUGCUGCCCAUUCCAGCAAUGCCUGGCAUUGGCCUUGAGUCCACCAGGCUGCUCACCUAAUCCUUGAGUUCACCCUGCCCCUCCCUGAGUUGCAGCCUCUGAGGGAUGAGUAGGCCUGCUGCCAGCUGGGGCAGCCUUGGGAGAAGACACCCACCCUCCCCAGCUACAUCUCCCCUGGGCUGUGGUAGCAGAGUGC
rnacentral:lncRNA from 1 species